GGGAUCUCGCUAAGUUGCUUGGGCUAGUCUCGAACUAUUGGCCUCAAGCAAUCCUCUGGCUUCAACCUCCCAAAGUGCUGGGAUUACAGGCGUGAGCCAGCACACCCGGCCCCUAGUACAAUGUCAAAUAACAGUUGGAUAUCAUUGUUUUGUUCCUGACUUUAGAGGGAAUGCUUUGUUUCUCUUUUAAACAUAAUACUGAAUAACCCUUUGAAGAAUAACUAAUGUUUAAUCAAAACAGAUUAUUCAAGUCAGUACCAAUACAUUUGGUUUGAUACACAAAAUACCAGUACCUAUAAUAUUUUAGUUAUUUCUGCUUUCAACUUACUUUAUAGUAUCUGCAAAGCUGACUCGACGAGAGUUUUUCUUAUUUCUCAAAGCAUUGGAUUCCUAAGGGCAGAGAAUAUAUGGUAUAAUUCUUAAUAAAAUCACUGUGAAUUACAUCUCCAGAGUACUAUAGACAGAGAUCAAGUCCUUUUUUUUUUUUUUUUGAGAUGGAGUUUCGCUCUUGUUGCCCAGACUGGAGUGCAACGGUGUGAUCUUGGCUCACCACAGCCUCUGCCUCCCGGAUUCAAGCGAUUCUCCUGCCUCAGCCUCCCGAGUAGCUGGGAUUACAGGCAUACGUCACCACGACCAACUAAUUCUGUAUUUUUAGUAGGGAUGGGGUUUCUCCAUGUUGGUCAGGCUGGUCUCGAACUCCCGACCUCAGGUGAUCGGCCCACCUCGGCCUCCCAAAGUGCUGCUGGGAUUAUAGCCAUGGGCCCCUGCACCCAGACAAGUCUUUUUUUUUUUUUUUUUUUUUUCCAAGACGGUUUUGUUCUGUCGCCCAGGCUGGAGUACAGUAACUCGAUCUCAGUUCACUGCAACCUCUGCCUCUCAGGUUCAAGUGAUUUUCAUGUCUCAACCUCUAAUUUUUUGUAUUUUUAGUAGAGAUGGGGUUUCACCAUGUUGACUAGGCUGGUCUCAAACUCCUGACCUCAAGUGAUCCUCCCGCCUCAGCUUUCCAAAGUGCUAGGAUUACAGGCAUGAGCCACUGCACCCGGCCAGAGAUCAAGUCUUAUUCUGAAUUACUUCUUCACAUUUUGUAGUAUGUGUCAGAAUUUCCUUCUUUUUUUCAAGGCUGAAUGAUAUUUCACUGCAUGUAUAUAUUACCACAUUUUGUUUAUCCAUUCAUCCAUCAAUGGACACUUGAGUUGCUUCCACCUUCUAGCUAAUGUGAAUAAUGCCGCUAUGAACAUGGGUGUACAAAUAUCUCUUUGAAACUCUCCUUUCAAUUCUUUUGGAUAUAUAUCCAGAAGUGGAAUUGUUGGAUCAUAUGGCAAUUCUAUUUUCAAUUUUUUGAGGAAUUGCCAUACUGUUUUCCAUAGCAGCUGUACCAUUUUAUACCCCCACCAAGAAAGCACAAGUGUUCCAAUUUCUCUGCAUCCUCAUCAACACUUGUUAUUGUCUUUUACUUUAACCAUCCUAAUGGGUGUGAGGUGAUAUCUCAUUUAGGUUUUGAUUUACAUUUCCCUAAUGGUCAAUGAUGUUGAGCAUCUCUUCAUUAGAAUACACUAUUUUUACCUUCCUUCCCCACCUUCUUUAACAAGAGCAAACAUUUCUACUCACAUAAAUACCAUACACAAAAACUAAAAGACAUUAAGGAUGAGCUUGCUGUCAAGUAAAAACAUAAAAUAAUAAUAAUAAUCAAAAGACAGAAACAAAAUCCACAGAGAGUUUUACUGGGUUAAUUCUGAAUACCUAACCAUAAGUCUUAUUAUAAUAAAGAAUCAGAAAUGGUAACCCCUCUGCAUCAAAGCAGUGAUGUGAUUAAGGCCCUAGAAGAUGCUACAGGUAGCCUUGAGCUUAAUAUGACAAUACUGACAUGGUAAACACUGGGACUAACAGAGACUAAUAUAUUUCUUACUGAAAAAAAAGAAUACUGAUCUUUUCGUAGUUCAUAAGUGUGAUUGGGUUUUCACACGCAUGUGUGAGAUGUGCUUUCUUCAAACUUUGUUACGAUGUUGGCACAUUAUACAUCUGACAUGAAAAAAGAAAGGCCCAGCACGAUGGCUCAUGCCUAUAAUACCCACACUUUGGGAGGCCCAGGCAAGAGGAUCACUUGAGCCCAGAAGUUCAAAACCAGCCCAGCCAACAUAGCAAGACCCUGUCUAUACUAAAAACAAAAAUUUUUUAAGGGCUGGGUACAGUGGCUCACGCCUGUAAUGCCAGCACUUUGGAAGACCAAGGUGGGUGGAUUACUUGAGCCCAGGAGUUCAAGACCAGCGUGGGGCAACAUGGCGAAAUCCUGUCUCUAUAAAAAAUAAAAAAUUAGCCGGGCAUGGUGGCAUGUUCCUGUAGGCCUAGUUACUCAGGAGGCUAAGGUGGGAGGAUCUCUUGAGCCCAGGGGGAGGAGGUUGCAGUGAGCCAUGAUCGCACCAUUGUACUCCAGUCUGGGCAACAGUCAGACCCUGUUUCUAAAUAAAUAAAUAAAUAGCUAAGUAUGAUGGCAUGUGCCGUAGUCCCAGCUACUCAGGAGGCUGAGGCGGGAAGAUUGAUUGAGCCCAGGAAUGCAAGGCUGCAGGGACUUAUGAUUGUGCCACUACACUCCAACCUGGGUAAGAGAGGGAGAUGCCAUUCCUAGAAAAAAGAAGAAAAAUGAAAAAUCAAGAAUGCCAGUAUAUUCAAGUGUUUGGAAACUCAUGGGAUGCUUACACAUUUCCUCUUCAAAUAGCUAAUAAACUUCUUGACUUAAAAAUAUAACUGAAAAUAGUCAUCUAUAAAGUAUUUGCACAAAAGACUUACCUGAACUCUUUCAUU
rnacentral:lncRNA from 10 species